rnacentral:lncRNA from 1 species
CUGAAAAUCUUGUGUUUAUAGUUAUUCAAUAUCUUGUUGUUAGACAUGAGAAAUAUAAAUUUUUUGUGGUCGUCAAUUUUAUCUCUCCUGUCUAUCAAUUUACUGGUCAGUGCUCCCUGAGAACUGUCCAGGUCUGUAUCUCAGAUUGUUGCUUAAUGACACCUGACAGAAACACUGUUUCCAGAAAUCAGUUAAAGACACAAAUUGUCACAGCCCAGGCAGGGAGCUCAUUACCUGCCACAUAAGAUCAAUUAUGGAAGUCAGAGAAAGGGUGGGUGGGGUUACCCAACCAGUUAGUGGAAAUCAGCUUACACCUGCUUCAAACUUCAACUAGGAGGAAAGCAAACCUGUUUGUAAGAGAACAUUAGCUGUUAUUAUAGAAGUGAAAACAUCGUGUUCUCCACUGCUGUUAGUGCAUUGCCAGUUUCUAGAUCCCAAACCUGUUUGUCUUAAAAAACAAAUUCAUAGCUAACAAUGCAGCAAUUCUUCCUUUUGCACCCCCUUCAUCUCUAUCUGGUUAAUAUUUUAGGAAGAAAAAUAAGAGAAUUCUAACGUUUUUGUUUGUCUCGUUUGAUUGUAGGUGAGCUUUGAAAUUAAUCCUACCAUUUAGGAAACAAUUUAAUAGCAUUUUACUUUGCAUAACCUCAAAGUCCCCUGUCUCCCCAGUUGUGCUAAGGCAUGGUUACUACCUGAAGAUCCAUGUUAACCUUUAAGAAGGGCAUUCAUUGGAGCCUGACUGCACACGACCUCCUGGGCAAACCCUGGAAAGUGUUCUGUGUGAUCUUCGGAUGCUGAGGCCCUCAUGGCAUCAACUGAACGGGAGCACCCAGCUUCAUGAUCAUUCUGUGAUGUCCAUGGCAAUAGGAAAUGCGUGACAGGGGAGCUGAAGCCCCAGAGACCCUACCUUGUACUUUACAAAGCUCCACUUUCUCAGCUCAGCGGUCUAACCCACAAGCCGCGUGCAGGGCCUCGUGGGAUGGGAAUACAGUGACCAGCAGUUACACAAGAUCCACUGCCUGCCUUAGGAAGAAAUACGGUUCAAGGGAAGGAGAAAGAUCGUCCACCUAUAAAUGGGGGAGCACACGUGGGACCAGAAAUAUUGCUGCAUCCUCAAUGGGAAAAUGCUUCUGCAACACGGUUGAGAGUUGUCAAGAUUAUCUUCAUUUUGCCAUCAACCUCCACGUUUCAGGGAAUUUUCUACUUGUUCGGAUUGGCAAUUUUCCACCUUCUCUUUUUCUCAAAU